UAAAAACCCCGACUUCGGAAGGGGUGUAUUUAUUAGAUACAAAACCAAUGCCCUUCGGGGCUCUUUGGUGAUUCAUGAUAACUAUACGAAUCGCACGGCCUUGCGCCGGCGAUGGUUCAUUCAAAUUUCUUCCCUAUCAACUUUCGAUGUUUGGGUAUUGGCCAAACAUGGUUGCAACGGGUAACGGAGGGUUAGGGCUCGACCCCGGAGAAGGAGCCUGAGAAACGGCUACUACAUCCAAGGAAGGCAGCAGGCGCACAAAUUACCCAAUCCCGACUCGGGGAGGUAGUGACAAUAAAUACUGAUACAGGGCCCUUUCGGGCCUUGUAAUUGGAAUGAGUACAAUUUAAAUCCCUUAACGAGGAACAAUUGGAGGGCAAGUCUGGUGCCAGCAGCCGCGGUAAUUCCAGCUCCAAUAGCGUAUAUUAAAGUUGUUGUGGUUAAAAAGCUCGUAGUUGAACCUUGGGCCUGGCUGGCCGGUCCGCCUCACCGCGUGCACUGGUCCGGCCGGGCCUUUCCCUCUGUGGAACCCCAUACCCUUCACUGGGCGUGGCGGGGAAACAGGACAUUUACUUU
rnacentral:rRNA from 1 species